GAUGAACGCUAGCGGCAGGCCUAAUACAUGCAAGUCGGACGGGAUCCAUUGAUAGCUUGCUCUCAAUGGUUAGAGUGGCGCACGGGUGCGUAACGCGUGAGCAACCUGCCUCCAUCAGGGGGAUAGCCUCGCGAAAGAGAGAUUAACACCGCAUAAUAUCAACAGUUCGCAUGUUCAGUUGAUUAAAUAUUUAUAGGAUGGAGAUGGGCUCGCGUGACAUUAGCUAGUUGGUAGGGUAACGGCUUACCAAGGCGACGAUGUCUAGGGGCUCUGAGAGGAGAAUCCCCCACACUGGUACUGAGACACGGACCAGACUCCUACGGGAGGCAGCAGUAAGGAAUAGUGGUCAAUGGGCGGAAGCCUGAACCAGCCAUGCCGCGUGCAGGAUGACUGCCCUAUGGGUUGUAAACUGCUUUUGUCCAGGAAUAAACCUAAAUACGAGUAUUUAGCUGAAUGUACUGGAAGAAUAAGGAUCGGCUAACUCCGUG
rnacentral:rRNA from 1 species